rnacentral:rRNA from 1 species
GGAUUGACACAUCGGUCGUGCCUUAAGGGGUAUGAACUGGUGUAGUCAAUUUCUCACCUUCUGGAGAACCGCGAUGCCCUUAAUUGGGUGUCACGGGGAACCAGGACCUUUACUUUGAAAAAAUUAGAGUGUUUAAAGCAGGCUCACGCUUGAAUACAUUAGCAUGGAAUAAUGAAAUAGGACAUCCGAUUCUAUUUUGUUGGUUUCUAGGAUCGAUGUA